GACGAACGCUGGCGGCGUGCUUAACACAUGCAAGUCGAACGCUGAAGCUCAGCUUGCUGGGUGGAUGAGUGGCGAACGGGUGAGUAACACGUGAGUAACCUGCCCUCUUCUUUGGGAUAACGCCCGGAAACGGGUGCUAAUACUGGAUAUUCACUGAUUCUCGCAUGGGGGUUGGUGGAAAGGUUUUUUCUGGUGGGGGAUGGGCUCGCGGCCUAUCAGCUUGUUGGUGGGGUGAUGGCCUACAAAGGCUUUGACGGGUAGCCGGCGUGAGGGGGUGACCGGGCACAUUGGGACUGAGAUACGGCCCGGCACCCUCCGGGAGGCAGCAGUGGGGAACAUUGCACAAUGGGCGAAAGCCUGAUGCAGCGUCGCCGCGUGAGGGAUGGAGGCCUUCGGGUUGUAACCCUCUUUCGCUCAUGGUCAAGCCGCAGCAUUGGGUUGUGGUGAGGGUAGUGGGUAAAGAAGCGCCGGCUAACUACGUG
rnacentral:rRNA from 1 species